AUCCGACGCCGGCAUGAGGAUAUACAGGAUCUGGCGGAGCAUGUGGGCAGGCUGGAAGCCGACACGGGCAUUAUGUUGGCAGCACAGUUUGACACGCUGCAAUGCCAGACUGGCAUACAAAUAUAUACUCUACUCUCCAAAUACAGGUCAAGCUGCCACCACCAGCUUAGUUCAGGAAUAACUUUUCUGCUCCUUAAUUGCAGAAUAUACUGUC